AUUUGAACAAAUGACCCAUUGUUUCUCAUUUAAUAUAUUUUAAUUAAUACACUGUCUAGGUUGCUGAUUUGAAAGAUUCUGUAAGCUUUAUUCUACUAGAGCAAUCUGAAGAAAAUGAAGACUUAUUUGUUGCUACCGUCAAUCUUUUCACUGCUGCUGCUCAUUAUCAGGUAAUGCUGGUGAUGGGAAGCUGCCAGCAAUUGAGGUUUCCUCUGGGCCAGUAGAGUCUAAAAGUUCAAGCCUUGUAGAUGCAGUACUUUGUUAUGUUGUAAAUUCUGACAGUCAUAUCAAUAACAAACCCUUUGUGCUACUUAAUGUACUCAACUUUUUAAAGGCAUUGUGGCAAAGGGCGGCUCAAUAUAUCAAUAUAUUGUUAGUGCCCAAAUAACUUA